rnacentral:tRNA from 1 species
CGCCAGUGUAGCUUAAAUAAAGCAUGACACUGAAGAAGUCAAGAGGGCCCU